CCUACGGGACGCAGCAGUGGGGAAUAUUGCACAAUGGGCGCAGGCCUGAUGCAGCCAUGCCGCGUGUAUGGAGAAGGCCUUCGGGUUGUAAAGUACUUUCAGCGGGGAGGAAGGUGUUGUGGUUAAUAACCACAGCAAUUGACGUUACCCGCAGAAGAAGCACCGGCUAACUACGUGCCAGCAGCCGCGGUAAUACGGAGGGUGCAAGCGUUAAUCGGAAUUACUGGGCGUAAAGCGCACGCAGGCGGUCUGUCAAGUCGGAUGUGAAAUCCCCGGGCUCAUCCUGGGAACUGCAUUCGAAACUGGCAGGCUAGAGUCUUGUAGAGGGGGGUAGAAUUCCAGGUGUAGCGGUGAAAUGCGUAGAGAUCUGGUGGAAUACCGGUGGCGAAGGCGGCCCCCUGGACAAAGACUGACGCUCAGGUGCGAAAGCGUGGGGAGCAAACAGGAUUAGAUACCCCAGUAGUC
rnacentral:rRNA from 1 species